rnacentral:rRNA from 1 species
AUGAUGAUAAAGUACAUAUCUAGCAGUUUGUAUUUAUACAGUCAUGCUUCCCAUACACUUAGACGGAGUGGGAGGCUGCCACAGCGGUGCUGGACUCGGAGCCCAAGCCAUCCGCCGCCGCCAACAGGUUGCACCUAUUCGCGGAAAUCACGUCUGUAUAGAAAAUCAGUAUUUUCUUGGUUCAUAUCCUAUGUGGAACUUGGAAUAUUGAUUGUUGGGCGCAACUUAACUUUCACAGUAGCCUGCAUAUUCUUGUGCUCACAAACAGGGCAAAACAUGCACCAUAGAAUGCUGGGAGAACAUAGAUUUAUUUUGCUCUUCGUACUUUUAUUAGAUAAGCCACAUUGCAAGGAGAAUAUGGAUUUAUGUUUCUCUUCCUACUAUUAUUAG